CCAGACUCCUACGGGAGGCAGCAGUGAGGAAUAUUGGUCAAUGGCCGAGAGGCUGAACCAGCCAAGUCGCGUGAGGGAAGAAUGUCCUAUGGAUUGUAAACCCCUUUUGUCAGGGAGCAAAGGGCGCCACGUGUGGCGCUUUGCGAGUACCUGAAGAAAAAGCAUCGGCUAACUCCGUGCCAGCAGCCGCGGUAAUACGGAGGAUGCGAGCGUUAUCCGGAUUUAUUGGGUUUAAAGGGUGCGCAGGCGGAUUUUUAAGUCAGCGGUCAAAUCGUGGGGCUCAACCCCAUCCAGCCGUUGAAACUGGGGAUCUAGAGUGUGCGAGAGGUAUGCGGAAUGCGUGGUGUAGCGGUGAAAUGCAUAGAUAUCACGCAGGACUCCGAUUGCGAAGGCAGCAUACCGGCGCUCAACUGACGCUCAUGCACGAAAGUGUGGGUAUCGAACAGGAUUAGAUACCCGCGUAUG
rnacentral:rRNA from 1 species